GCGGAUGUAGCUCAGUUGGUAGAGCGCGGUCCUUCCAAGUCCGAUGUCGCCAGUUCGACCCUGGUCAUCCGCU
rnacentral:tRNA from 1 species